AGAUCUUUAACUCAGUUGGUAGAGUACUUGUCUUACAAACAAGAAGUCGCUGGUUCGAACCCAGUAAGAUCUA
rnacentral:tRNA from 1 species